GGAUGCGAUCAUACCAGCACUAAAGCACCGGAUCCCAUCAGAACUCCGAAGUUAAGCGUGCUUGGGUGAGAGUAGUACUAGGAUGGGUGACCUCUUGGGAAGUCCUCAUGUUGCAUUCC
rnacentral:rRNA from 1 species